AUUUAUCCUGAAAUCUUCAGUGUUAGUCUUUCUACUUGGAUGAAUUUGAACAAAUUAGGUGAAGGAUUCAUUUAUUUUUACCUUUGUUUACUUGUUUUUAAAGAUUUAUGGGGAGAGAGAAGAGAUAUCCCAUGGUUUAUUCGAUGAUUAUUAUAGUUUCUAAAUUACAGAUAUUCCCCUAUGAGCAAUUUGAAUAUCACAUAAGCCAAAAUGAAAACUCAAAACUUCUUUCCUACAUCUUCCUUCCCUUGAAGAUUUUAGUUAAUCCUUCGCGGUAAAAUCCAACGAGAUAGAAUAGAUUGUAGAGAGGAUUUUAUUUUGAGAAGCAUAAGACAUAUGAGUUCUUUAUAGCUUUAUGAUCAUCAUCAUUUCCGAAAUAUUAUAAGUCUCCAAAGCUUUUCUCCCCCGAUGAGAAGUCUAUAACCCUUAAAAAGAUUCUGAAACUCAACUUUUUUUAAGAAUCAAAAUUCUUAAUUAUAUAUGGAAGCUAUUGAUUUGAGAACAACGAAGUAAUCAGUGUAAAGAGUGAUAGAUUCGAGUUAGAAGAAGCAUGAGAAGAAAAUAGGUUGAUGAAAGAUCGAAUUCUGCAAAAAAUUUCUAAGGAAGUUUUUAUUUAUUUUUAAAGUCUU
rnacentral:lncRNA from 1 species